GCUUUCAACCAGCUAUCUUUAAGAUUNCGUUUUAGUUCANUAUUUUCUAUUUUGAUUUUNUAAUUAUUUUAGGUUUUUUAUUAAGAUUAUUUAUUUAAUUUUAAAAUUUUUGUAAUAAUGAUAGAAUUAGUAUAUUUANUNGUAUAUAAUUUUUACCUUGUGAAUNUNUNACANGGAACUAGGCAAAAUNGAUUUCCGCCUGUUUAUCAAAAACAUGUCCUCUUGAAAAUACUUNGAGGUCUGGCCUGCUCACUGAGCGGAUUUUUAAAGAGCCGCGGUAUUUUGACCGUGCAAAGGUAGCAUAAUCNUUAGUCUCUUAAUUAGUGGCUGGAANGAAUGGCUUGACGAGAAAUCAACUGUCUCUUAAUAAAUUUUUGAAUNNNNNNNNNUUAAUAAAUUUUUGAAUUUAACUUUUGAGUCAAAAGGCUUAAAUUUUUNUUUAGGACGAGAAGNCCCUAUAGAGCUUAACAUUUUACUUUUAUAUAGUUUUUUGUUUGUCUUUCUAUAUUUAAUGAUGAUGUUUUGUNGGNGNGACAUGAAGAAUAAAUAAACUCUUCAUUAUUAUAUCAUUUAUUUAUGUUUGUUGUUUUGAUCCAUAAUUUAUGAUCAUAAGAUUAAGUUACCUUAGGGAUAACAGNGUAAUUGUUUUUGAGAGCU
rnacentral:rRNA from 1 species